UUAAAGGCUUCUUUUGAAGCCAUGAUCUGCAACUUGUUCUUUCUUU
rfam:Pteropus alecto contig57116, whole genome shotgun sequence.